UAAGGAUAAGGAAUCUGAGUUCUCAAUGUUAGUUGAUCGUGCCACUGGUGGAGCCAGCAUCAAAGAUGGUGAGGUGGAAUUGAUGCUUCAUAGGCGUAUUCUCCAUGAUGAUAGUCGAGGUGUUGGGGAACCACUUGAUGAACAAGUUUGCGUGA